UUCAGAUACACUAUCACGUGAUAGGUUAUCGACUAGGGAAAUUAUAGAGCCUCGGAAUAUACACUGGUGAACGACCAAUCACGUGACAUUAGUUUGAGAGUAAGUUUUUAGUCAACAAGCUCUCGUUAUCGUUAUUCGUUGUAUUGAUGCUUGUCGCAUCGUUAUUGUUUUCGACGAUUAUUGUUAUUAUUCUUGCCGUUUGCAGAUUGUAUUUGCUCUCUUGUCUAUCUUUUCCCCUCCCAUUUGUUUUCUCUUCUGUCGGCCUUGUGGCCCAGCGCGCGCAAUUCUUAUUGGCCGAAGAAUGCAGUACGCGCCUUCGCGGCCCAAUCGACACUUCCCUCCUCGCGAUCACGUGAUACGAUGCUUUCAAGGUCAUUGAUGUUUUGAUCGCGUGUAAACAGGCAUCCAUGAGGCGAUGCGAUGAUGCGCUGCGUGAAUAUCACAGCCGCUAGCCCGCCAUCGUCAGUCCUCGUUGGACCUCGUACACGUGUUGUUCGCGGAGCGAAAUUUCGUGCCGUUUCUUUUUCUCGGACGUCGACGAAAUUAUUAUGUUUCAUCGAUGAUACGGCGAUGAUACGACUACCGUCAACAGCUCCUGGAGACUCCACUCUUGAAGAAAAUCGAUAGCUCGCUAGCGGGAAUUGUCGGAAGAAAGAUCGAAUAAUAUUAUCUACGAUCUUGUCUGAUGUGAUCUUUGAUGAAUUAAUUGAAAGCGACAUAAAGAGAAAAAGAAUUAAU